UACAGAGGUCCCGAGCGUUGUUCGGAUUUACUGGGCGUAAAGCGCGUGUAGGCGGCUUGGCAAGUCGGAUGUGAAAGCCCACGGCUCAACCGUGGAAGCGCAUCCGAAACGGCCUCGCUCGAGUCUCGGAGAGGAAGGUGGAAUGCUUGGUGUAGAGGUGAAAUUCGUAGAUAUCAAGCAGAACACCUGCGGCGAAGGCGGCCUUCUGGACGAUGACUGACGCUGAGACGCGAAAGCGUGGGGAGCAAACAGG
rnacentral:rRNA from 1 species